rnacentral:rRNA from 1 species
UACGGAAUGUGCAAACGUUAUUCGGAAUCACUGGGCUUAAAGAGUCCGUAGGCGGCAUGUUAGGUGAGGUGUGAAAUCCCCCGGCUCAACCGAGGAAUUGCGCUUCAAACCGGCGUGCUUGAGGAAGAUAGAGGUGGGCGGAACUGAUGGUGGAGCGGUGAAAUGCGUUGAUAUCAUCAGGAACACCGGAGGCGAAGGCGGCCCACUGGGUCUUUUCUGACGCUGAGGGACGAAAGCUAGGGGGAGCGAACGGG